rnacentral:rRNA from 1 species
GAAGAGCUUGCUCUUCAAAUCGAGUGGCGAACGGGUGAGUAACGCGUGAGGAACCUGCCUCAAAGAGGGGGACAACAGUUGGAAACGACUGCUAAUACCGCAUAAGCCCACGGCUCGGCAUCGAGCAGGGGGAAAAGGAGCAAUCCGCUUUGAGAUGGCCUCGCGUCCGAUUAGCUAGUUGGUGAGGUAACGGCCCACCAAGGCGACGAUCGGUAGCCGGACUGAGAGGUUGAACGGCCACAUUGGGACUGAGACACGGCCCAGACUCCUACGGGAGGCAGCAGUGGGGAAUAUUGCACAAUGGGGGAAACCCUGAUGCAGCGACGCCGCGUGGAGGAAGAAGGUCUUCGGAUUGUAAACUCCUGUUGUUGAGGAAGAUAAUGACGGUACUCAACAAGGAAGUGACGGCUAACUACGUGCCAGCAGCCGCGGUAAAACGUAGGUCACAAGCGUUGUCCGGAAUUACUGGGUGUAAAGGGAGCGCAGGCGGGAGAACAAGUUGGAAGUGAAAUCCAUGGGCUUAACCCAUGAACUGCUUUCAAAACUGUUUUUCUUGAGUAGUGCAGAGGUAGGCGGAAUUCCCGGUGUAGCGGUGGAAUGCGUAGAUAUCGGGAGGAACACCAGUGGCGAAGGCGGCCUACUGGGCACCAACUGACGCUGAGGCUCGAAAGUGUGGGUAGCAAACAGGAUUAGAUACCCUGGUAGUCCACACCGUAAACGAUGAUUACUGGGUGUUGGAGGAUUGACCCCUUCAGUGCCGCAGUUAACACAAUAAGUAAUCCACCUGGGG